rnacentral:rRNA from 1 species
CAGUCGCCACGGGAAAACGAGGGGGGCAAGCGUUGUUCGGAAUUAUUGGGCGUAAAGGGUGCGUAGGCGGUUUGAUAAGUCAUCUGUGAAAUCUCUGGGCUCAACCCAGAAUUGCCUUUAAGACUGCCGAGCUAGCAGGUGAGAGAGGUAAGUGGAAUUCCGAGUGUAGAGGUGAAAUUCGUUGAUAUUCGGAAGAACACCAGUGGCGAAGGCGGCUUACUGGCUCAUACUGGACGCUGAGGUGCGAAAGCGUGGGGAGCAAACAGGAUUAGAUACCCCAGUAGUCCCUGUCUCUUAUACA